AUUGAACGCUGGCGGCAUGCUUUACACAUGCAAGUCGAACGGCAGCGGGGUAGUGCUUGCACUACUGUCCGGCGAGUGGCGAACGGGUGAGUAAUAUAUCGGAACGUACCGAGUAAUGGGGGAUAACCAAUCGAAAGAUUGGCUAAUACCGCAUACGUCCUGAGGGAGAAAGCGGGGGAUCGCAAGACCUCGCGUUAUUCGAGCGGCCGAUAACUGAUUAGCUAGUUGGUGGGGUAAAGGCCUACCAAGGCGACGAUCAGUAGCGGGUCUGAGAGGACGAUCCGCCACACUGGGACUGAGACACGGCCCAGACUCCUACGGGAGGCAGCAGUGGGGAAUUUUGGACAAUGGGGGCAACCCUGAUCCAGCCAUGCCGCGUGUAUGAAGAAGGCCUUCGGGUUGUAAAGUACUUUUGUUAGGGAAGAAAAGGGAAGUGCUAAUACCACUUUUUGCUGACGGUACCUAAAGAAUAAGCACCGGCUAACUACGUGCCAGCAGCCGCGGUAAUACGUAGGGUGCGAGCGUUAAUCGGAAUUACUGGGCGUAAAGCGAGCGCAGACGGUUAUUUAAGCAGGAUGUGAAAUCCCCGGGCUUAACCUGGGAACUGCGUUCUGAACUGGAUAGCUAGAGCGUGUCAGAGGGGGGUAGAAUUCCACGUGUAGCAGUGAAAUGCGUAGAGAUGUGGAGGAAUACCGAUGGCGAAGGCAGCCCCCUGGGAUAACACUGACGUUCAUGCUCGAAAGCGUGGGUAGCAAACAGG
rnacentral:rRNA from 1 species